CUACGGGAGGCAGCAGUGGGGAAUAUUGCGCAAUGGGGGAAACCCUGACGCAGCAACGCCGCGUGGGUGAUGAAGGUCUUCGGAUUGUAAAACCCUGUCUUCUGGGACGAUAAUGACGGUACCAGAGGAGGAAGCCCCGGCUAACUACGUGCCAGCAGCCGCGGUAAUAC
rnacentral:rRNA from 1 species